UCUCCGUAGGUGAACCUGCGGAGGGAUCAUUACAGAGUUCUCGCCCUUACGGGUAGAUCUCCCACCCACUGUUAUCGUUACUGUCGUUUCUUUGGCGGACCGCCGGGUCCCCGGCCGCCGGCGCCUAGCUGCCGGCGCGCGCCCGCCAGAGGCCUUCAAACCCUGAAUGUUAGUGUCGUCUGAGUACUAUAUAAUAGUUAAAACUUUCAACAACGGAUCUCUUGGUUCUG
rnacentral:misc_RNA from 1 species